UCUAUCAUGAGUUAGACAAAGGCCUGCCACGUCAAUGUACAUUGCUUAUGUAAUAGACACAUAGGAAGUCUACCAUGGUCUAGAGUUCCUUGCUGAACUGUCUAUUCUCAGACAUCUUUAUGACAAAUUAGGGCAAAUCAGACCUCAGUUUAUCCUUUGUCCUUCUUCUGUGUAGUGCUUUAGAAUAAGAGCUGGCAGCACUAAUCCUUCCGUUUGGAGCCAGGUAGUUUUCAGGAGUUCAUAACUUAGUUUACUGAGACAAGUGACAUGCAUAAUAGAAUUGCUACACGUUUGUUUAUGAGAUGCUGUGUCUGCCAGCUGGGUUCAAAAUGAACAGAGUCAGACCACAUUCUACCACCUCUGCAAAAUGGAAAGUGCUUUUGCUGCUGUUUGGAUUUUCUGUGUUCUGGCACACAACUGUGAGACAGACAAAAUUUUGUGCAAGACCAGCAAUAGAUCUGAGCUUAAAAUAAUAAAGCUAAACCCAAAAGAAUCACUGUUGUUGUCAGUGGUUCCAGGCAGAUAAUAUGUUAAAAUUUUUCAACAGAAUGAAGAACGUUGGCUUCUUCAGGUAUCCAUUAGAAUUAUUUGUUGAUGUUGUUGUUGUUGUUGUUUUUAGAUAAUUAUAAGAUCGAAGUAACUUCAUUGUCAUGUAUUAGUUCACAUAAGUUUCCUCUAUCACCAGCCUCUAUCACAUUCCAGUUUUUACUGAUACAUAAGUACCUAAAAGAUACAUUUUUUCCUUGUCAGGAGGAAUGGAGAAUGUAAGACUGGAGUCAGGGUGCUCAAUUACAAAUCAAUUGGAGCUACAAUAACCCAGCUAAGAAAUAGUGAGAACCUAAGUGAAGCUGUAUCCAAAGUCAUGUGGGAGUGGUCUCAAAAAUCUUACACAUCACUGAGCUGAAAGCCUAAAUUGGAUGACAAGGAAGGAUAUCUAUCCACGAUGUAUUUGUCAGCUUUUGCUGAAAUACUACACCAGAAUGAACAACCAAAAUCUUGAUGACUUCAAACAAUCACUACUUAUGUUGUUAUGGACGUGGCAGCUGGACAUUCUUCGUCAUUCUUUCAGGUACCCUUUGUACACUUACUGUAAGCUGGUUCAUCAGCUUAGGGAUGAUUGUUGCUGAACCAAGUCUUAUAGAGUAUCACACCAAGGGCUGUCUGUAUUGAUAGGUUGGAAGGAAUACAGAGGGGGAAUACACAUGGCCUCCAAAGGUCUGCUAUCUACCUGACAUGUUUUCAGUUCUCUUGUAUGCCAAUGGUAAGAGAGCCCAGGAGGAAAGCCCAGAGGAAAGAUGCUUCCUGAUGGGGAAAUCCAGAAAUGAAAGGAAGAAAAGAACUGAAGUCAUUUAAUAAGCAUUCCGCCGCUCACAUCUUAAGGCUUAUUUGAAUUCCCUGUUGGUUACUCCCAGAAGGUUCCAGAAUACCAAUGAACCCAAAGAAAGAUGAGUGGUGGCAUGGCACUGGCAUAUCUCUACCCUGUGCUUGAAGAGACAAGAAACUAUUCUCAAACUCUGACUCUAGACAAAAGUUAAAACAAACAUGUUUUAAACUUUGGAAAGUAGUUUCCCAAGAACACAAAUGAAAGACUGUCCAAAUUGUAGUGUGAAGCAUACAGAAGACAGAAAUUGAGGGCAAAAUAAUGGACACAUUUGUAGGAAAAUAAAAUUUAAAGCUAGAGGCA
rnacentral:lncRNA from 1 species